CCGGAUUUAUUGGGUUUAAAGGGUGCGUAGGCGGACUUGUAAGUCAGCGGUGAAAUUUUGCAGCUUAACUGUAAAAGUGCCGUUGAUACUGUGAGGCUAGGAUUUGGUUGCUGUGGGUGGAAUGUGUGGUGUAGCAGUGAAAUGCUUAGAGAUCACACAGAAUAUCGAUUGCGAAGGCAGCUCACAAAGCCAAAAUUGACGCUGAGGCACGAAAGUGUGGGGAUCAAACAGGAUUAGAUACCCUGGUAGUCCACACUGUAAACGAUGAUAACUCGCUGUCGGCGAUAUACAGUCCGUGGCCAAACCAAAGCCAUAAAUUAUCCCCCUGGGGAAUACCACCGCCAGGGUGAAACUCCAAGGAAUUGACGGGGGCCCCCACAAGCGGAAGAACCUGUUGUUUAAUUUCAUGAUACCCCAGGAACCUUACCCGGGCUCCAACGGUGCAUGAAUAUGGUAGAUAUAUCGUAGCUAGCAAUACUCUGUAUCAAGGUGCUGCAUGGUUGUCGUCAGCUCGUGCCGUGGGGUGUCGGCUAAAAUGCCAUAACGAGCGCACCCCUUGUCAUUAGUUACCAUCAGUCUAGCUGGGGAACUCUAAAGGAGACUGCCACCCUAAGGGGGGGAGAAAGGGGGGGAUGACCUCAAAUCACCACGGGCCCUUAUGUCCGGGGCGACACACGUGUUACAAGGGGGGUACAGAGGGCAGUCUUCCGGCGGCGGAGCCCCCAUUCUCAAAGCGCUUCUCAAUUCGGAUUGGAGUCUGCCACCCCACUUCCAUGAAGUUGGUAUUCGCUAAUAAUCUCGCAUCAU
rnacentral:rRNA from 1 species